CCAGAACUCCUCCGGAAGUUGAGCUUGAGAAAGUCGACUAGUUGAUGGGCAGCGUUGACACAGCUAGAUUUCUUGAGGAAGCCAAAUUGGUCGCUGACAAAAAAUCCAAUAUCAUUCAGGUAUCCAGUAAGUUGUGCAGCCAAGAGGUAUUCGAAAAUCUUUGACAAAGCUGACAAGAUGGUCAGUCCACGGAAAUUCUCAAUAUCGCAAUCGCCAGAUUUGUGAAUUAGCUUAAGACGUCCUUUCAAUAAUGCAUCCGGAAAGAACGCUUGGUCUUCAAAAUUUUGA